rnacentral:lncRNA from 1 species
CCAAACAAGUGAACUGUCCGAUCUGAGGAAGUCACUGAAUCACAACGUACUGGAAUUUGGGAAGCAAAUCUCUGAUUUAACUUCACUCAUUACCAACAAGCAAAAGAAUCUACAUAAUAAACAGACAAGCGAAUCAUCUUCUGCCCAAAUGAAUAUGAGCAGUGAACAGGAGGAAAUUACUGUUGAUCCAGAGCGACCUGCUUAUGCUGUGAGUAUGUAUGGUAAUGCAGAUUAUACUCCGUCUAAACACAUCAAGUUUGAUAUGUCUAAGUUUAAUGGGAAGGACCCUGAGGCCUGGAUCUUUAUGGCCCGGAGGUUUUUCAUUUUUCAUAA